CAUAGCCGCGGGAAAACGGAGGGGGCUAGCGUUGUUCGGAAUUACUGGGCGUAAAGCGCACGUAGGCUGCUUUGUAAGUUAGAGGUGAAAGCCUGGUGCUCAACACCAGAACUGCCUUUAAGACUGCAGAGCUAGAACGUCGGAGAGGUGAGUGGAAUUCCGAGUGUAGAGGUGAAAUUUGUAGAUAUUCGGAAGAACACCAGUGGCGAAGGCGGCUCACUGGACGACUGUUGACGCUGAGGUGCGAAAGCGUGGGGAGCAAACAGGAUUAGAUACCCCUGUAGUCCCUGUCUCUUAUACA
rnacentral:rRNA from 1 species